GACGAACGCUGGCGGCGUGCUUAACACAUGCAAGUCGAACGGAAAGGCCCUGCUUUUGUGGGGUGCUCGAGUGGCGAACGGGUGAGUAACACGUGAGUAACCUGCCCUUGACUUUGGGAUAACUUCAGGAAACUGGGGCUAAUACCGGAUAGGAGCUCCUGCUGCAUGGUGGGGGUUGGAAAGUUUCGGCGGUUGGGGAUGGACUCGCGGCUUAUCAGCUUGUUGGUGGGGUAGUGGCUUACCAUGGCUUUGACGGGUAGCCGGCCUGAGAGGGUGACCGGCCACAUCGCGACUGAGAUACGGCACAGACUCAAAUGGGACGCAGCAGUGGGGAGGAGUGCAUAACGGGAGGAAGCGUGAUGUAGCAACGCCGCGUGCGGGAAGACGGCAUGUGGGUUGUAAAGCGCUUUCGCCUGUGACGAAGAGUGAGUGACGGUAAUGGGUAAAGAAGCACCGGCUAACUACGUG
rnacentral:rRNA from 1 species